rnacentral:lncRNA from 1 species
CGGCAGCAUCCGAACGGAUGAUUCGGUAGCUGGCGUGAUCAGAGGCGCGUAUUUCGAUACAGUCCAUUCGAAUUCUUUUGUACGAUUUCUAUCUCAGCCGCUUCUUUCUUUUCUAUGACCACGAUCUCAACAUUCCUUUUUGUCUUAUGUGCGGCAUUAAUUAGGUCAUAUUAAUUGCCGCCAUCUUUUCAUCAUUAUAGUCAGCUUCGGAAAUCAAUUCGAUGUGACGACUUUUGUAACGUAACGAAACCUC